UACGGAGGGGGCUAGCGUUGUUCGGAAUUACUGGGCGUAAAGCGCGCGUAGGCGGCUUUGUAAGUUAGAGGUGAAAGCCCGGAGCUCAACUCCGGAACUGCCUUUAAGACUGCAUCGCUAGAACGAUGGAGAGGUAAGUGGAAUUCCGAGUGUAGAGGUGAAAUUCGUAGAUAUUCGGAAGAACACCAGUGGCGAAGGCGACUUACUGGACAUCUGUUGACGCUGAGGUG
rnacentral:rRNA from 1 species